rnacentral:lncRNA from 1 species
AUGAAAUAAGAACGGGACCUUCCGGUUCCCCCCCCCCCCAGCAGCUGGGGGGGGUGGGGCAUCCCCAGUCAGCCCUAGCCCCCGGCAAGCAGGUGAGGAUGAGACAGAGAUCGGUGAAGAUGGACUCCCCCAGAGGACUGUGGGAAGCGUGGAGGCUUCACCCCAAUCCUGCACUCCAAGAGGAGGACCAGGAGCCCCACAUUCUACAAGAUCUCACACAUCCCCAGGGGUCUCUGCCUAGCUCGGAGAGGUGUGAGCGGCAGCAGGGCAGGGCUGACCUGCCCUGGGAGCCUGGAAUCCAGGUGGGUCGUGGGGCUGACCGGGUUCCUGGGAAGAUGAAACUGGCCUAGGUUCUGGUCUCAGUGACCCCAGUGUACGUCUGCUGUGGGUCUGAUUUGGGGCAGGAGUGAGCAGGCGGGAUACCGGGCUAGAUGGGCACCUAGGUCUGAUCGAGGGCAGCACGGAAGAGUGAGAUACCAGGCUAGAUGGAUGUAAGUCUUGCUAGGAA